GAUUACUACACGGUGAAAGGAGAAAGAGGGAUCAAGAAAAAAGAGAGACAGAGAAAUAGGGAGGCAGAGAUAGAGAGACAUCACCGUAAGGGCGCCUUCCGUUUCUCAUAUUCGGAUACUUUCUUUUCGCUUCCUUUUCAAUUUUCUUAACACCGAUGCUUGCGAUCCAGAGAUAGAGAAGGAGGAAAAAAUAAACCUUGCGAUACAGAGAUGAGAAGGAGACAGACAUUGAGAGAACUACCACCGGUUUGGAGAGGGCAAAAACAGAGAAAUAAGAGAGAAGGGGAGAGUUCUCCGUUCCCUCUUUAGACUUAAAGCACCACUGCAAGCACAUAGGGAAAGAAAAAUCUAUGGGCUAUAUAUCUAUCACCAUCAGAUCGUAGGAACUGGCUCCGGUGAGUGGAAGAAAAGGCAAGCAGAUGUAGAAGCUGUCCAGGGAGCCAAAUGUAAGAUAAAGCUUAAGAGAAAAAGCAGCACGACAAGCAUUAGGCCAUUGUGACUGAACAAAUAUGAGGUUAUAAGAGUUGGGAUAGUAGCUUGAUGCUAGAUUAGCAAGUGAGGGAGACAGAGGAGAGUGAAGGAGAGAGAGAGAGAAUAAGAAAGAUAAGAAAAUGCUUUAGAUUACUACACCAACACUGCCCAAUAUAUAUAUUUCUAAAAUCCAUGUGUUUUGAGUAGUUGAUAGGCUAAAUCUAGAAAAUUUAGAGUAUGUUUUAUGGAAUUUCUCAUAGAAGCUUUAUUGUUUUCUAAAAUAAAUUUGUUAUCUGGUGUUUAUUUCCCUAUUUGAUGCAGAAAGCUAAAUAUUAUAAACAAUUAUUCUUUUUUCCUUCUAUAAUGGUUUUAAUCAGAUAAGAAUGAUCUUAUUUUGUAGUUAAUAUUUUCAAUUGUAGAUUAGGAGCUGCAUUCUAAAGAAUUAUGUUCUUCCAUCCUUUAUAAAGACAAACCAUGUCAUCAUUUAUGACAUUAGUAAUAAAAACAAUCAAUUGAUAUUGAAAUUAAUUCAAAUUUUUAUAAAUACUGCCUUACCUUAUGACAAUAGUAAGCUAGAAGUUUAGUUUUUAUUUUAUUUGUAAAUUCUUACAAUCAUGGACCAACAAAAUUAGUGAUUUGCUAUUUGCUCCAAAGUUAACAUCGAUAGUAUUAUUGAUGUGUAGGUGUAGAAAAAAGUUUUAAACACCCCAAAGUGGAUAUGGUAGGCAAGAUUACCAUCAUGCAAUUGCUGCUGAAAAGCUGUCAAACUUAAAUCCUUUUGUCUAAGAGUUCACAAAUCACAGUGAUUGAGGCAUGUAAUUGCGUUACAAUGAAUAUCAUAAUUUAAUGCUUCAUCCUGAUGCCAAACUCAGGAUUUAAUGUCGAAAUCAAAGUUUGAGAGGGAAUUUGCAGCUUGAAAGUAGAUGGAUUUAUUGCAUUUUGUACGUUAAUAGCAAUUUCCCAUUUUGAUUUGCAAGGACAUUCUCACAAAUUUAGAGACUUCUAUGUCCCUCUUGGCAGAUAUGUUCUGAGACUUACAAGACUUGCAAUGAAUAUAAAGCAUAAUAUUAAAUUUGUAUCAGCAAAAAUGGUGUCCUCACACACUUUAUAUAUAAAAGAAACUGAGGAAAUAUGAAUUUUUUAUAGUUAUAUUUUUUCAGUUUCUUUCAUUCCUAUUGUAACAAAGAGACAGAACUAAGUUAAACAUG